UUCACAUCAAAUUUUAUUUGGCUUAGUUUUUAUGCAGAGAAACUAUCUAUGAAAUUUGAUGCAAAUGAAGAUGAAGACGAUCGCCAUAUGAUGCCACCACAGGGGUUUGUUGUUGAAAAGAAAUCAGAUCAAUGAAAUACUAAAAGGCUCUGCAGAAAAGUCAGGAUCGGGUGAGAGAAAGAUCGACUCGAUUAGGGCUAAGAGCAGUGAAAUGAAGUGAGUUACGACAUUCCAGUGUCGACCAAUGUGCAGAGAAGAUAUAAUUGUUGGAAAUAUUUUGUUCCGGUCAUAUACGACUGGUUCCUCAAUCAUAAUCUUUGCAUCUUAUGUAUUACACUGCAAUGUAUUAAUUUCUUGUUCAUUCUGUUAGCUGUUACUUGUAUUAAUGAGAUUCUAGUUUUCCUAUUACAGCAAUGAGACCGAAGCGAAUAAAAAUAAUGAGAGUAGUGAAAAGCGUGGUUGAAGUAAUAAUCAAUGUUCGAAAACUUCUGCGUACAUGGGAGUUAGCAGGUUUUUGGUAUUCCUUAUUCUCUUGACUCAUGUUCAUAUAUUUUUCAAAUUUUGUACAGCUUAUAGCUACUGAAAGGAAGAGCUUGCCACAAAAGUAAAAAUGGAUAUGAACAGUGUAGCAGGUCCAGAUCAAAAAUGUACUGCAACAUAUUUCCUUGAACUAUGUAUUGUUUAACAUGUAAAGCUCAUUGUAAUUAGAUGAUAUGAAAAGGGGGAAAAAAAUAGUCUGCCAAAGUUCCCAGCCUUUUCUCUUCUUUGGGGCAAAAUUUUCUCUACAAUCUUCCUUCUAAUUAUGUUAUUUUGUAUUAGUGGUGUCUUUUUCAUGAAUAUGGAUAAGGUUUUCAAUUGUAAAGAAGAUGAGGACAGUUUAGUUAAUUUGUAAUACAUGUAUGACGUAUACGUAAUAUUGGAUCAAUUUAAAUUUUUCAAUUA